UACAGAGGGUGCGAGCGUUACUCGGAAUUACUGGGCGUAAAGCGCACGUAGGUGGCUAUUUAAGUCGAUUGUGAAAUCCCUGGGCUUAACCUGGGAACUGCAGUCGAUACUGACUAGCUAGAGUGUGGUAGAGGGAAGUGGAAUUUCCGGUGUAGCGGUGAAAUGCGUAGAGAUCGGGAGGAACAUCAGUUGCGAAGGCGGCUCUCUGGACCAGCACUGACACUGAGGCACGAAAGCGUGGGGAGCAAACAGG
rnacentral:rRNA from 1 species